CUAAGAAUAUUCCGCAAUGGACGAAAGUCUGACGGAGCGACGCCGCGUGGAUGAUGAAGGCCGAAAGGUUGUAAAAUCCUUUUGAACUGGAAGAAUAAGUAGGAUAGGGAAUGAUUCUAUGGUGACAGUACAGUUUGAAUAAGCAACGGCUAAUUACGUGCCAGCAGCCGCGGUAACACGUAAGUUGCGAGCGUUGUUCGGAAUUAUUGGGCGUAAAGGGCAUGUAGGCGGUUAUAAAAGCUUGAUGUGAAAUCUCUGGGCUUAACCCAGAAACUGCAUUGAGAACUGUAUGACUAGAGUUACUAAGGGGAAACUAGAAUUCCAGGUGUAGGGGUGGAAUCUGUAGAUAUCUGGAAGAAUACCAAUGGCGAAGGCAAGUUUCUAGUAGAUAACUGACGCUGAGGUGCGAAGGUGUGGGGAGCGAACAGG
rnacentral:rRNA from 2 species